UCCAUUUUAGAUGCAGAUGUGAGCUCCCUAAGAAUUGUUAGGAAGAAUGGAAAGGCUGCAUUAAACACAACUGCCAAGUAUUUGCUUACAUACUGUAAAUGCACUAAAGGAGCAAGAUCCAGAUACAAUAUCCAUAAAGAUAAAAAGCAUAUAACAGCACUUCAUAUGACUAUUGGUCAAGAUACUUCUUUGGUCGAGGAGGAAAUACUGAAUAGUGACAACUCAAUAUUGAUUGAGCGCGACACGAAGGGCAACACAGUCUUGCAUAUAGCCACAUGAAAAUGUCGUCCACAGAUGUGACUGGCAACGACGGGAAGAGCUUGGUGUAUUCAGCCUGUUGAAGACACUUCUUCUGCUGCUUCUUUGAUGUUAUUGGAGCCACUUGUUAUUUCUGGAUGCGAUGGAAGCCAUGUUUACUGCUGCUUUUUGGAUAAUUGAAGAAAAUUUUGCAGCUAUUUUCUGGAUGGUGUUGAAGUCACU